UGGGGAAUAUUGCACAAUGGAGGGAACUCUGAUGCAGCGACGCCGCGUGAGUGAUGAAGGAAUUCGUUUCGUAAAACUCUGUUCUAUGGGAAGAAAAGGACUGUACCAUAGGAGAAAGCUCCGGCUAAAUACGUGCCAGUAGCCGCGGUAAUACGUAUGGAGCGAGCGUUGUCCGGAAUUAUUGGGCGUAAAGGGUGCGCAGGCGGCUUUACAAGUUGGAUGUGAAAUAUUGUGGCUCAACCACAAACGUGCAUCCAAAACUGCAAAGCUUGAGUUAAGGAGAGGUAAGUGGAAUUCCUGGUGUAGCGGUGGAAUGCGUAGAUAUCAGGAGGAAUACCGGUGGCGAAGGCGACUUACUGGACUUAAACUGACGCUCAGGCACGAAAGCGUGGGGAGCAAACAGG
rnacentral:rRNA from 1 species